rnacentral:rRNA from 1 species
AUUGAACGCUGGCGGCACGCUUAACACAUGCAAGUCGAACGGCAGCGGGGGGAGCUUGCUCCCUGCCGGCGAGUGGCGAAUGGGUGAGUAACGCGUAGGGAUCUGCCUGUUAGAGGGGGAUAAGCCGUGGAAACGCGGUCUAAUACCGCAUACGCUCUAAGGAGGAAAGUAUGGGACCGAAAGGCCGUACGCUAACAGAUGAACCGGCGUUAGAUUAGCUAGUUGGUAGGGUAAAGGCCUACCAAGGCGACGAUCUAUAGCUGGUCUGAGAGGAUGACCAGCCACACUGGAACUGAGAUACGGACCAGACUCCUACGGGAGGCAGCAGUGGGGAAUAUUGGACAAUGGGGGCAACCCUGAUCCAGCGAUGCCGCGUGUGUGAAGAAGGCCUGAGGGUUGUAAAGCACUUUAGUUGGGGAGGAAAGCCUGAGGAUGAAUAAGCCUUAGGGGAGACGUUACCCAAAGAAUAAGCACCGGCUAACUCUGUGCCAGCAGCCGCCGUAA